rnacentral:lncRNA from 10 species
GGGCCAUUGAGAAUGCUCAUUUUUGGCUUUGCAAGAUACAAGUUAGUUUUUCAAAGUAGGCACAUAAGAAAACAUUCCCAACAGACUCUGGUGGAAAAAAAAUAUAUAUAUACACAUAUAUUUGCUUAAAAAAUGAAUUAUUUGUAUUCAAAAGGAGAAGAAACUUUCUUCUGGCAUUUUUGGAGGUGAUCUCUGCACACGCUGGCUCCAUUUUGCCUUCCAUCAUGAGUAGAAGCAGCCCAAGGCCUUCACCACAUUUCCUAUCUUGAACCUUCCAGCAAGAAGAAUCAUGAACCAAAUAAACUGCUUUUCUUUAUAAACUAUUCAGCUUCAUGUAUUCCUUUACAGCAACACUAAAUGGACUAAGACAAAUUGAUAAAGAAAAUGUGAUAUCUAUACAUCUCUCUGUCUAUAAAGAUAAGAUACCAAUUACAAUGGAACAUUGUUCAGCCAUAAAAAGAAGAAAAUUCUGGAAUUUCAGAUGUCAUGGAUGAAUCUGGAGGAAAUUAUGCAAAGAAAAAUAAGCUAGACACAGAAAGACAAAUACUAUAUAAUCUCACUUAUACGUGGAAUCUGAAAAGUUGAACUCGGAAGCAGAGACUGAAUGGUAGUUGCCAGGGGCUGGGAGCAGGGAGAAGAGAAUUGAAAGAAGGAAACGGGAGAUAUUGGUCAAAGAGACAAACAUUCAGUUAUAAGGUGAAUAAGUUCUGGAGAUCUAAUAUAUAUAGCAUGGUAACGAUCAUUAAUUAUACCAUAUUGUAUACUUGAAAUUUGCUGAAAGUAAAUCUUAAGGGUUCUCAACAAAUACAUACAAAAAAAAGAUCACCUUACAUUACUAUGAAAGAUGAUGGAUGUGUUAACUAGCUUGAUUUUGGUAAUCAUUUCACACUGUAUAUGUAUAUCAAGUCAUGUUAUACACCUUAAAUAUAUACCGUUUUGUAUGUGGAUUACCUCAAUAAAGCUGUGGGGUGAGGAAAGAUUUGAAAAAUAUAA